UCUACAAAGAUAAAACAAAGGGUACAAAAGACACUAAAAUACUUAGUUAUAUGGAUAUAUAAGUGAUGUGAGAUGUAAACUUUUUAAUUAUUCAUGAUACAUAUAUAUGUAAGAGAUGUUUUAUAAGAGAAAAUUUGAUUUUCUAUACUUAGAAAAUCAAAUUUUUUUUUCCCUAAACCAAAAAUUUAAAACCUAAAAAAACUAUUCCUUUUUUUUCAAAACCCCAAAAAUACCCCCCUCACAAUAUUCUCUCUCUCUGCAUCAUCUCUCUCUCCCUCUAUCUCACCCCAACCGCCCACCCUCACCCGAACCACCCUCACCCACCCACGUCAACCCCAACGCCGAUCACCACCCUCACCCCCGUCGACCACGACCCCAACCCCUCCGACCCCAACCCCAACCCGAAAGAGCAACCCCAGUCCGACCCCAACCCCAGUCUCUGAAACUUUUUUUUUUUUUCCUGCGAUUUGAGAGAGGGAAGAAGACAGAGGUCCGAUGGUCGGACCUUGGGGGUCCGAUGGGUCCGACCAUCGGACCCAUCGGACCCCAAGGUCCGACCGUCUUUUAAAUUUUUUUUUUCUGCGAUUUUGGAGAGAGAGGAAGAAAGAGGUCCGACCGGCUUUUAAUUUUUUUUUUUUUCCUGCGAUUUGAGAGAGAGGGGAAGAGAGAGGUCCGAUGGGUCCGAUUGGUCGGACCCCAUCGGACCCCAUGGUCCGACCAUCGGACCUGGGGUGUGGGAUUCUUGGGACCGGCUAGAUAGAGAGAGAAAGAGAGAUAGUUUUAGUUUGGGGGUAUUUUUG